GCCUCAUCCCUGCUUUUGAACUGAGUCUUCUCAGUGGCAACUGCAUCAGAGCAGCUUCUGCUAAUGCAAGAUUAAAGACAGAAGGCCUCCUUUAUGCUGUAUAAGUGGAUCCUAUAUUCUGUUUCUACACCAUCAUUCAGUAUAUCCAGAAUGUUUUCUUUCCCCAAUGUGUGUGCCUCUAUUCACCUAGACAGAGUUGUGAACCUGAACGAUUCUCAGCUGUGAGAUUUUUCUUGUACAAGUGAUGAAAUGGAGAAAAGUCUAUUCUGGAAACCAGUUCAAGAAGCUUCUCCAGCACAUAUGAUUUUCUGUGAACAACAAAAGAAAAAGUAAUUUUGUAAACUACUAUCACAUUGACUGUGUGAUCAGCUGCUCCAGACUUGUGUCCUAAUUGGUUUGCCAAAACAAUGGAAAUUUUAGAGAAUACAGGCAAUUUACAGAAAAAAAUCUCUAUC